UGUCUGCAUUUGGAUACUCAAAGAUAAUAAAAGCAAGGGUAUAAAUUUACUUUUAAUAUUGAAAAAUAGAAUUCUAGUAAACCGGUAGUGCUUGAGUAGCAAAGUGAUUGCUACAUGUGCCAAAAAAGCCAUCAUAUUACUUUAGAUACUGGAUGGCUAAUGUAUCAAAUGAACUAUGCCACCUUUCCAUAUAAUACACAGAAGAGGUCAUCUGCCCUGAUAUUACAGUGAUCAAUGUUUUCCUUCUCCCUUCGUCCAAAUAGGUUUAAAUACUGCGUGCCUAAACCGAACUUUUUUCUAAUGAUUAAUCAUAUAAGUACAUUGAAUAAUUGAUUUGGACAUCAUUUUUACCAGAAAUAGUUUAAUAUGAUCUUUAAACCAUUUCUCAAAUGCUUAUAUAAACCGAAUAUCUCCCUUCUUUAAGCGGUCCCCUCUACCCCUCUAUCCAGAGUCCAGCAACUUCGGAAACAACCAACAUCACAAAUCGGAGACAAGCAAGGUCUGUUUCGUGUCAAAAGAAGUCAAUGAAUUUAUCAUUUCUUUCUAUUGGUUUGAAUACAAAAUAUUACAAAGUUUUAGUUAUGAUUUUAGUUCUGAGAACCUGUGCCGGAAGAGACUAGGUCUUGGCUUCGUUCAGCACACUAACAAAUUGUUCAAAUAUUAUGAAUGUUGUUGAGAAGGGACUAUCUUUUCUUCAGAAAACAGUCUAAGCCAAAUUCUUCUAACUGUCCUGAAUGUAAUAAGCACGGCCAUAUCAAAAAGGAUUGUGUUCUAUUGUAGGACAAGUUCAACAAGAAGACAUGUAUGUAGGACGGAAAGAAUCUAAACCUAAUGAUUCUGAGAAAGACGAUAAGCCUCAAUAUAAGGGAAAGCUAAGCAUUACGGGUCCUAACGUUUGCUUUAUGACUAAUGAAUAUGAGGUAACUUUUGAAUCUGAAAACAUUGACACUAUGUUAUUAGAAGAAAUAGAAAGUACAUUUGUUGUUUUGAGCAAAGAAUAGGAUAUCCUUUUCUUCCCUUUUUAUUGAUAAUUUAGAAGAGUGACUUUCUAUAUUUACAACAAUGUAAUUUCAAAUCCAAAUCUUUAGUUUGGAUUUAAAUUGGGCUGAGAUUUCAAAUCAAAUUAUUUUAAACAGGAGAAUUUGAAAGCCCAAAUACUAAUAUUCCAAAUCACAGCUUGCCCCUAGGUAUUUACCAAAUCCCGAUCCCCACUCCUCUCUCUCAUUUCUCACUCCCGAUCCCCGAUCCUCGAUCGCGACUCCUCUCUCUCAUUUCUCAGUCUCGAUCUCAACUCUCAAGUUCUCUCUCAACGCAGCAGCUUGUUUCCUCCUCUCUUUCGGUUGCUCUCCUCAAGCUUCUGUAGUUUCUGAUUGGGAUUCAAGGUAUGACUUCAAUUUUUACUGUUUUUUAAAUUUUUUUUUUAAAUUUCCCCUUUCUUUUUCUGUGCUUUUAAAUUAUCAGCCACUGUAAAAAUGUAAAUAUGUAAAACACAGUUCUUUGUUUUCUUACAGGUAUUAAAUUUGCUUGCAAAGGAGAGUAAGUUGUGAGCAGAUUUCAAAAGGAACAAAAAGAGGUGGGCAUAUACUAUCAGAUUCAAUCUUAUGAUGCUAUUUUUGAUGUAGAGGUUUUAAAUUUGACAUGUAAAAAUGUGUUUUUACCAUUUAUUGUUUGUCAUGAAAACCAGCUGCUAUCACUGUAGAAACCGUCUUUUACAUGAUCAAACACUAGCCUUUAUAUAUUGAAACAUCUGCAGUAUUAAGGUUCUACACUGUUAUGUUCUCAAUGUUGUGCUAGAAUUACUGGUUUCAUUGGUUUUUACUAUCUCAAAUUCUGUGGUCUUGAGUAUUAUUUAAGAUGUUGACCAAUGUGACCUGAGCUAAAUUAUGUGUGUAUGGAUGCAAAGUUUGGUGGUUGCAAUGGCCAUC